GUGUGUGAGUGUGAGUGUGUGUUUCAGUGUGUGAGUGUGAGUGAGUGUGUGUUUCUGUGUGUGUGCUGCUGCCUGCCAGAGAGGGGAGUCGAGAGCUCUGCUGGGAACUACAUGGUGCUCAAUUUUUCAAGAUGUCGUCGCUGGAGCAGAGGCUGUCGCGAAUCGAGGAGAAACUAAAGCAGGAAAAUGAAGAAGCUCGCCGGAGAAUCGACCUCAACAUCGACAUGAGUCCACAGAGAUCACGUCCGAGGCCAAUCAUCGUGAUCCAGCUCAGUCCUGCUCCAGCCCCUUCCCAGCGUGCAGCGCUUCAGCUGCCCCUGGCCAACGAUGGAGGCAGCCGGUCAUCGUCUUCAGAGAGCUCGCCUCAGCACCACCCCUACCCCAGCCGCCCGAGACACAUGCUCACCCUGCCCACACCUCCGUACGGCCUACAGAAGAGCCUAGAGAAUGCAGAGAUUGACCAGAAACUGCAGGAGAUCAUGAAACAGACGGGUUAUCUGAAGAUCGACGGUCAGAGGUAUCCAGCAGAGGUGACAGACCUGAUCAGUGAGGGUGAGAUCGGCAGCGGCACCUGUGGACAGGUCUUCAAAGUGCGAUUCAAGAAGACGGGCCACGUCAUCGCUGUCAAACAAAUGCGUCGUACAGGUAACAAAGAUGAGAACAAGAGGAUCCUGAUGGACCUGGAUGUGGUGCUGAAGAGUCACGACUGCCCUUACAUCAUCCAGUGCUACGGCGCCAUAGUUACCAAUACGGAUGUAUUCAUUGCCAUGGAGCUGAUGGGAACGUGUGCUGAAAAGCUGAAGAAGAGAAUCCAAGGCCCCAUCCCUGAGCGAAUCCUAGGAAAGAUGACAGUGGCAAUAGUGAAGGCGUUGCUGUACCUGAAAGAGAAACACGGUGUCAUCCACCGAGAUGUCAAACCCUCCAACAUCCUUCUGGAUGCUAAAGGUCAGAUCAAACUGUGCGACUUUGGCAUCAGCGGACGCCUUGUCGACUCCAAGGCAAAGACCCGCAGCGCCGGCUGCGCUGCCUACAUGGCGCCUGAAAGAAUAGACCCUCCAGAUCCAACCAAACCUGACUAUGAUAUCCGAGCAGACGUGUGGAGCCUCGGCAUCUCUCUGGUGGAGCUGGCCACAGGACAGUUUCCCUACAAGAACUGCAAGACAGACUUUGAGGUUCUGACCAAAGUGCUGCAGGAAGAUCCUCCUCUGCUGCCUCUCAGCAUGGGCUUCUCCCUCGACUUCCAGUCCUUCGUCAAAGACUGCCUCACAAAGGAUCACAGAAAAAGGCCAAAAUACCACCAGCUGCUGGAGCAUAGUUUCAUCCGGCGUUACGAGGUGCUGGAGGUGGACGUGGCCGGUUGGUUCCAGACAGUGAUGGAUCGCACCGAGUCGCCUCGCAGCAGCCAGUGUUACAGCCAUCAGCACCAGCUCCACUCGCUCUUCAGUAGGUAGCCUAGCCUAGCCCAGCCCAGCCCGGCGUUAGCUUAGCCCUACGCUAGUCUAGCCUAGCUUUAGCUUCGCCAAGCCCAGACUUAGUCUGCCCUAGUCUAGCCCAGCGUUAGCAGCUAAGCCUAGCCUUAGACCCAGCCCGCCUGGCCAUCUGUCCACUGGAGAACCUGAAGAGCCCUCAGAGGAGGGCGAGACGGAGACUCGAUGGAUGGACGGAUGGAUGAUUGUCGGAGAGAUGGACUGAUGGAUGGAUGGAUGGAUGACACAGGUGGUUCUGUUUAUCAGUGUGUUGAAUCUGGACGGGCAGACAUGGGAAGGAGGGAACAGAGAAAAAGAAAGAAUUUGCUGACCUAAAAGAGCGUUUAUAAGAGAUGGAAGUAUACUAAGAAGAGAAAAGAGGAAGUAGAAGAAGAGGGGUUAUAGUUUCUAUGACCAUUCGGAAGACUGAAUAACUGUUACUGGUGGAAACAAGAGAAACGCUGGAGGUGAAAAUGGGAGCAGAGAGCUUUUUUUCGUUCAGAAGGCAAAAGAACAGGAGCUUAUCUUGUACAAAGAAUAUAUAAACGGUGUAGAUCUUAUUACCUGUGGAGCAUUUCUUUACUUCACUCUCCGUUUGUCUACCUCUCCCUCUUUGUCCACCUCUCUGUCUGCCUCUGCUGUUUAGUGUGACGUAGAGCUCCACAGUGUUACCAGACCAAAGGCUGCAUGUAGGUUGUUGUUGUUGUUGUUGUUGUCGCUGUCGUUGGAGGCCGAGAGACUCUGACCUGCUCCUGGAAAAUGUCGAACAUUGAGAGGACGCACAGUCUUGAUAAAGCAGGCUGUGAUGUUUUUAGGGUCUCAAACUACCAGCCUGCGGGGCCACUAGAUCACAAAGCCGCCCACAUGUUUAGAAUUGAUUUGUCUUAUGGGGCCAUAAACCAUCAAAGGCUUUUUUGUUUUAUUCUAUCCAUAAAUCUCUUUUCUCACUCUUUCAGGACUAUUUUAAAGUGUUGCAACUAACAGUUUUAAUGUUUUCAUUAUUGAUUCAUCUCCUAAACAAUGAAUGAAUCAUUCAGUCUACUACAUUUCAGACGUUUCAAAGGAAAGCAUUUCAAAGCAAACUAUGUUUUUAUGCGGUCCCACCAGGAGGAAAAACAUCGUGGUUAACAGUCCCCCGGGCAGUUUGACAUUGAGACCUCUGACCUAGAAGAUUGCUAAAAUGAAAUUGAGUGUGUCAGGCUCUGUAAAGCAUCUGAACUAGUCGGGGUGUUGUGAAACUGUUAUGUGUAGAUGUACUUUAAUGAGCGCAGAGCAGUCACAGCCAAAGCCUGCUAGACGUGCAGACUCGAACCUCCCCCCUCUCCCCCCCCUCCCCCCGUCACGCACCGAACCAAAUCACUGCUAGACACAGAGAACUGAGGAGCGGCAGCGAUAGAGAGAGGAAACCGUUAAGUGUCCGAGAGAGAGAGAGAGAGAGAGAGAUAGAGAGAGAGAUCCAGGAAUGUUGUCAAGAUGGCAGAAAAGAUGAAACGAAACGACAGGAAAAAGAGAGGAUGAGGACAGCGUGAGGUAAGAAAGAAGGGAUUGCUAAGAAAGUGAGAUGGGAAGUUAAAAGGAAAGUCAUGUGAUUGAUACAGACGACAGGAAGUAAAGUUUGUGAGAGAGGAGAGCAGAAAACAUCGGCUCUGAGGCUAGCUAGUUAUUGUAAAAAGCUUUCAUGGUGUUACACCAACCUACCAAUUCUGAUUUUAGCGAGCGAGUUAGCGUGUUUAUGAUGUUUACUGUUCUGUUCAAAUCAUGUUAUUUAUUUACAUUGCUACUGCUGCUACUUUUUUUAUUGCUUUAGACGCUGCUGUCACUUCUUUUCCCCAAAGGACAAAUACUUUAUUCUUUUUUUUUUUUUUUUUUUCUUUUAAGCCAAAUAAGUGAAAUAAUGCAAUGUCUACACAUGUUACCAAAUACAGAAGAGCAAGUCUGAAGAAGGUGAAAGCAAGUGAGCGAUGGCAGGACGGAUGAAGGGAGGUCGGCUUCACAGAAAGUACUAACUCACACACGAAAUAUAAACACACAGCUCACCUCAAAUGUAGCUCUAUGUGUAAAGGAAGCAGUUAAUCGUUUAUAUCCCAUCGUCACACUACAAAUGUACAGUGUAGAUUUGAUUUGGGGGGGGUGGGGGAGGGGGAGGGGAUGUCUGUCUGUCCAGAUGCUUUUUUGUCACUUCCAUCCUUUCCUCUGUCCAUCCAUCCCUCCAUCUGUCCACAGGUCGCCUACAAGCUUGACAACCUUGACAGUUCACACCAAAGGUGUCCACAACUCGACGAAAUACGAAAGAGCGUUGUUGUUAUUGUUAUGACUAUUGUUAUUGACAUUAUAAUUGAUUACUCUCAGCUAUGAUAUGUAUGAAAUCUCUUUUAUAGCUAGCGGGAGAAGGCGUAGGGGCGGCGCUGUAGUGCAGCAGUGCCUGUGUGUGUGUGUGUGUGUGUGUGUGUGUGUGUGUGUGUGUGUGUGUGUGUGUGUGUGUGUGUGUGUGUGUGUGUGUGUCAUAUAUAUUGUACAGGGGGAGACUGGUGCAUUAACACACGACAAGGGCCGAGCAAUAAAACCAGCUGGUUCGUUCUUCUACUCAGUGAAUCAAACUCAACAAAGCGGCCUGUAUCAGGAAGCAAGUUCAACUUAUUCUGGCUCUCUUUGGGCUUCACUGACCCACCGACCCGAUCACAAAGCUGAGUAGAAACUAGCUCAGUUAACUCAGAGUCAGUUGAUCCACCUACAGACCUACUGUCGGAGGGAUGAACACCAUUCUUCCAAAAGAUAUUCCCUCAUUUGGGGUUUUGAUCUGUAAGGCUAAGGUUAAAAAUAAAUGUGGAAAUUGUCAUAAAUUUAAGUCACAAGAGAUUUUAACAGUAAAAAUUGAAGCAGCAGAGGUAGAAAUCCCCUGACUUUAAGUUCCAGAGCGUGGGUGGAGCUCCAGAAACUCUGCAUCCUCAGAAGCUAUUUUAUCAAACUUUGGAAAGCACCUGAAUUCCUUGUGACGUGUGAACUGAACGGUGUAGUUCACCGUUAAAUACCGCUGGCAUAUUCAACAUGUUGAUCAGAUAAAGUGACGGAUCUAGAGCGUAAAAGCAGUGUGCCAAAUACAGGGGUCUCUAACUGACAGCUGGGACCCCCUCAAACACUCAAAACUCAAUUUUAGGGGGGGUCUCAAUAAUGUGUCUAGUUAUAUAUUUUUUUUAUUUAUCUAAACAGUGCAGUUUAUUUGUAUGUAACUUCUAAACUCAGUGGACACGUGGUUGUCUCAAAAAAACAAUCUGACAUAAUUAUCAUGGAAAUCAAAGUAUUUCUACUGACAUGUUAAGAAUGUUGCUUUGUUUCUCUUUAUUACUUAUUUAAUUGUGAACAACCUUUCUGGUUGAUGACUCCAUUUUUCCAGUGACCUGAUUGGUCAGUAGGCGGUCAGUUGGCAGUUUUUGAUUGGAGUGCAGCACAGGUUACCAUGGUGAUCUACCACAAGAUAAAAAAUGAGACAUCCUUGUGACGCUAGAAAACCUGAGUGAAGUCAGAAAGAGAGCCGGAUCAUCCACUCCCGUCUCUUGCUGUUACAGGCCUGUGAGCAGACGUGAUGGCGCGCCGGCACAUCGCCGUUAGCUCGGCCUUUGUCAGGUUUUAAUCUGGAGUCCAGGUUCCCGACCCGGAACUGGUUCAAAGCCACGGUUUACCUUCAACAUUAGCAAAAUCGCUCUGCUGUCGGUUGUCUUGUCUCUUGUAAACUCUCCAAAUAACAGGAUUCAGGGUCAAGACAGAUUUAUAUACACCUGAAUCUGGUGCUUAGCAACCAUCAGCUGCACUGAACUUGCAGCGCAGCGUUACUCGUCGGUGCAGUUUCAAAAACCGUGACUCAAGGAGACGGUGCAACGUUCACUGUUUGUGUCUCCAAAAACACAAAGCUAGACCCAGUCUCCCGCUGUCGAGAUCCUCCGUUGUUAAGCUGUAUUUUACAAAAAAAAAAAACACACGCACACACUCGCUCAACCGUGCUGUCUGUGUGCGUUUCCAUCCAAACACCUGAUUGGGUGACGCUGCACCUCUGUGAAACCAGGUCAGGCAAGGUGUGCAUCUGCUCAGAACGACUGUCAGUGUGUGUGUGUGCCGGGAAGCAAAACAUCACUCAUGUACACACACACACCCACACCAAAUGUAUAAAAGUUAUCCCAUCCUACACAGCGAUGCUGGCUACUGCCAAUAGUGGCUUUAUGUGUAUAUUAGCUUGCCAGGUGCGAGGCCAGCGCUGUAUUAAAAACAGUAAAGCUAGCUCAUAGCGUGUACCUGCGCUGUGCCUUGGCACCGAAGGGGGAGUGUGUGUGUGUGUGCGUGUGUGUGCGCGCGUGUGUUUGUGUGUGUGUGUCGUAACCCCAUCUGUAAGUAAACCAAAUAUCAUUUUCACUAUGCAGUCAUUCAAACCAUGUCGGCUUGCUUCAACGAGGGAAAAAAAGCCUCCUGUACAUACACAGAUUUACGGAUAAACUGGAGUUAGCGACAGUGUGAGAUUUUUUUUUCUUUUCGACUCCCCCCCCCCCUCCCAUUCCCCUCCUCCCCAAGUGUGAUUAACAUCACCGCCUUCAGCUAGUUCACAGAGAAAACAGAGAGCAAGAGAUAUGUUUUGAAUGAGCUGACAAAUAUUUAAGGAUUGUAUCGGGGUCGGGGAGGGACUGGGGUUAGACUGGGGUUUGUAGUUUUUGGGGGGAGGUACAGAUCAAUGCUGUAAAGUAUAUCAAUUGCAUGUUAUUGUCACCGCUAUAACUGCCAUUGUUUUGUUUUUUUUGUUAUUGUUUUUUUUUUCUUCCAAGACAACA